rnacentral:rRNA from 1 species
UGAACGCUAGCGGCAGGCUUAACACAUGCAAGUCGAACGGUAACAGAAGAGCUUGCUCUUGCUGACGAGUGGCGAACGGGUGCGUAACGCGUAUACAACUUACCUUUAACUGGGGGAUAGCCCAUGGAAACGUGGAUUAAUACCGCAUAAUAUUGUAGAUUCGCAUGUUUUUACAAUUAAAACUUCGGUGGUUAAAGAUGGGUAUGCGUGACAUUAGCUAGUUGGUGAGGUAACUGCUCACCAAGGCUACGAUGUCUAGGGGGCCUGAGAGGGCGAACCCCCACACUGGUACUGAGACACGGACCAGACUCCUACGGGAGGCAGCAGUGAGGAAUAUUGCACAAUGGAGGAAACUCUGAUGCAGCCAUGCCGCGUGCAGGAUGAAUGCCCUACGGGUUGUAAACUGCUUUUAUAUAGGAAGAAACCUUUCUACGUGUAGAAAGCUGACGGUACUAUAAGAAUAAGGACCGGCUAACUCC